AUUGAACGCUGGCGGCAGGCCCAACACAUGCAAGUCGAGCGGGGUUUUCGGACCUAGCGGCGGACGGGUGAGUAAUGCGUAGGAAGCUACCCGAUAGAGGGGGAUACCAGUUGGAAACGACUGUUAAUACCGCAUAAUGUCUACGGACCAAAGUGUGGGACCUUCGGGCCACAUGCUAUCGGAUGCGCCUACGUGGGAUUAGCUAGUUGGUGAGGUAAUGGCUCACCAAGGCGACGAUCCCUAGCUGGUUUGAGAGGAUGAUCAGCCACACUGGAACUGAGACACGGUCCAGGCUCCUACGGGAGGCAGCAGUGGGGAAUAUUGGACAAUGGGCGCAAGCCUGAUCCAGCCAUGCCGCGUGUGUGAAGAAGGCCUUCGGGUUGUAAAGCACUUUCAGUUGGGAGGAAGGGUUGUGUGUUAAUAGUACACAGCCUUGACGUUACCAACAGAAGAAGCACCGGCUAACUCUGUGCCAGCAGCCGCCGCAGUAA
rnacentral:rRNA from 1 species